rnacentral:rRNA from 1 species
AGUGAACGCUGGCGGCGUGGAUUAGGCAUGCAAGUCGAGCGAGAACCGUAGCAAUACGGGGACAGCGGCGAAAGGGACAGUAAUGUGUAGGUACCUACCCCGAGGUCUGGGAUAGCUGCGGGAAACUGCAGGUAAUACCGGAUAAUGUCUUCGGACCAAAGGUGUGAUUCCACCUUGGGAGGGGCCUGCAUCCUAUUAGCUAGUUGGCGGGGUAAUGGCCCACCAAGGCAACGAUGGGUAGCGGGUGUGAGAGCACGACCCGCGUCAUUGGGACUGAGACACUGCCCAGACACCUACGGGUGGCUGCAGUCGAGGAUCUUCGGCAAUGGGCGGAAGCCUGACCGAGCGACGCCGCGUGCGGGAUGAAGGCCUUCGGGUUGUAAACCGCUGUCGUAGAGGAGGAAAUGUAGGGGGGUUCUCCCUUCUGUUUGACCUAUUCUAGGAGGAAGUACGGGCUAAGUUCGUGCCAGCCGCGCGGUAA